UGGAUCGAUGAUGACGACUGCCAGCAUAUGGGUCAUGAUGACGAAUAAUGUGUGUCUGGAACUCUGACGUCCAA